GUGCUCACUUUGGCAGCAUAUACACUAAAAUUGGAAUGAUACAGAGAUUAGCAUGGACCCUGCACAAAGAUGACAUGCAAACUGGUGAAGCAUUUCAUACUUUU
ensembl:snRNA U6 U6 spliceosomal RNA